rnacentral:rRNA from 1 species
CCUCGGGCGGCAGCAGUGGGGAAUAUUGGACAAUGGGCGAAAGCCUGAUCCAGCCAUGCCGCGUGUGUGAAGAAGGCCUUCGGGUUGUAAAGCACUUUCAGUGGGGAAGAAAGCCUUGGGGCUAAUACCCUCGAGGAAGGACAUCACCCACAGAAGAAGCACCGGCUAACUCCGUGCCAGCAGCCGCGGUAAUACGGAGGGUGCGAGCGUCAAUCGGAAUUACUGGGCGUAAAGCGCGCGUAGGCGGUCUGAUAAGCCGGUUGUGAAAGCCCCGGGCUCAACCUGGGAACGGCAUCCGGAACUGUCAGGCUAGAGUGCAGGAGAGGAAGGUAGAAUUCCCGGUGUAGCGGUGAAAUGCGUAGAGAUCGGGAGGAAUACCAGUGGCGAAGGCGGCCUUCUGGACUGACACUGACGCUGAGGUGCGAAAGCGUGGGUAGCAAACAGGAUUAGAUACCCUGGUAGUC